AACCAACAGGGAUUGCCUCAGUAACGGCGAGUGAAGCGGCAACAGCUCAAAUUUUAAAGCUGGCGUCCUUGACGUCCGCGUUGUAAUUUGGAGAGGCACUUUCGGUUUGGGCGCCGGCCUAGGUUCCUUGGAACAGGACGUCACAGAGGGUGAGAAUCCCGUGCCGUCGGCUGUCCCAUUCCACGUGAAGUGUCUUCGACGAGUCGAGUUGUUUGGGAAUGCAGCUCAAAAUGGGUGGUAAAUUUCAUCUAAAGCUAAAUAUUGGUGGGAGACCGAUAGCGCACAAGUAGAGUGAUCGAAAGAUGAAAAGCACUUUGAAAAUAGAGUUAAAAAGUACGUGAAAUUGUUGAAAGGGAAGCGCUUGAGACCAGACUCGGCCUCGGACGAUCAGCCUCUCUUCUGGGCGGUGCACUCGUCUUUGGUCGGGCCAGCAUCGGUUGAGACGGCGGGACAAGGGCUUCGGGAAUGUGGCUCCUCUCGGGGAGUGUUAUAGCCCGUGGUGCAAUGCCGCCCGCCUCGACCGAGGACCGCGCUUCGGCUAGGAUGCUGGCAUAAUGGUCUUCAGCGACCCGUCUUGAAACACGGACCAAGGAGUCUAACACCUAUGCGAGUGUUUGGGUGUCAAACCCUUGCGCGGAAUGAAAGUGAACGGGGGUGGGAACCCGCAAGGGUGCACCAUCGACCGGUCCUGAUGUCUUCGGAUGGAUCUGAGUAGGAGCAUAGCUGUUGGGACCCGAAAGAUGGUGAACUAUGCCUGAAUAGGGUGAAGCCAGAGGAAACUCUGGUGGAGGCUCGCAGCGGUUCUGACGUGCAAAUCGAUCGUCAAAUUUGGGUAUAGGGGCGAAAGACUAAUCGAACC
rnacentral:rRNA from 1 species